rnacentral:rRNA from 1 species
ACGUAGGGGGCGAGCGUUGUCCGGAAUGACUGGGCGUAAAGGGCGCGUAGGCGGCUCCGUAAGUCCGGAGUGAAAGUCCAGCUUUUAAGGUUGGAAUUGCUUUGGAAACUGUGGGGCUUGAGUGCGGAAGAGGUAAGUGGAAUUCCCAGUGUAGCGGUGAAAUGCGUAGAGAUUGGGAGGAACACCAGUGGCGAAGGCGACUUACUGGGCCGUAACUGACGCUGAUGCGCGAAAGCGUGGGGAGCGAACAG